ACCCUUAGAUGUUCUGGGCCGCACGCGCGCUACACUGAUGCAUUCAACGAGUCUAAGACCUGGUCUGAUAGGGCUGGGUAAUCUUUUGAAUGUGCAUCGUGAUUGGGAUAGAUGAUUGCAAUUCUUCAUCUUCAACGAGGAAUGCCUAGUAAACGCAAGUCAUCAGCUUGCAUUGAUUACGUCCCUGCCCUUUGUACACACCGCCCGUCGCUCCUACCGAUUGAAUGUUCCGAUGAAUACCAUGGACUGAGAGUAUGAAUGGGUUCGCCUAUUUCUGCUUCUCGGGAAGUGGAGUAAAUCUUAACAUUUAGAGGAAGGAGAAGUCGUAACA
rnacentral:rRNA from 1 species